GAUGCACGCUGGCGGCGUGCCUAAUACAUGCAAGUCGAGCGAACAGACGAGGAGCUUGCUCCUCUGACGUUAGCGGCGGACGGGUGAGUAACACGUGGAUAACCUACCUAUAAGACUGGGAUAACUUCGGGAAACCGGAGCUAAUACCGGAUAAUAUAUUGAACCGCAUGGUUCAAUAGUGAAAGACGGUUUUGCUGUCACUUAUAGAUGGAUCCGCGCCGCAUUAGCUAGUUGGUAAGGUAACGGCUUACCAAGGCGACGAUGCGUAGCCGACCUGAGAGGGUGAUCGGCCACACUGGAACUGAGACACGGUCCAGACUCCUACGGGAGGCAGCAGUAGGGAAUCUUCCGCAAUGGGCGAAAGCCUGACGUAGCAACGCCGCGUGAGUGAUGAAGGUCUUCGGCUCGUAAAACUCUGUUAUUGGGGAAGAACAAAUGUGUAAGUAACUAUGCACGUCUUGACGGUACCUAAUCAGAAAGCCACGGCUAACUACGUG
rnacentral:rRNA from 1 species